rnacentral:rRNA from 1 species
UUGGUGUUGAGCGAUACGCUGGGUUUGCUUGAAAGAAAGGCCGGAGUAUAAACUAAUGGAUAGGUUUUUUCCACUCAUUGGUACAAACUCCAAAACUUCUUCCAAAUUCGACCUCAAAUCAGGUAGGACUACCCGCUGAACUUAAGCAUAUCAAUAAGCGGAGGAAAAGAAACCAACAGGAUUGCCUUAGUAGCGGCGAGUGAAGCGGCAAAAGCUCAAAUUUGAAAUCUGGCACUUUCAGUGUCCCGAGUUGUAAUUUGAAGAAGGUAUCUUUGGGUCUGGCUCUUGUCUAUGUUUCUUGGAACAGAACGUCACAGAGGGUGAGAAUCCCGUGCGAUGAGAUGUCCCAGACCUAUGUAAAGUUCCUUCGAAGAGUCGAGUUGUUUGGGAAUGCAGCUCUAAGUGGGUGGUAAAUUCCAUCUAAAGCUAAAUAUUGGCGAGAGACCGAUAGCGAACAAGUACAGUGAUGGAAAGAUGAAAAGAACUUUGAAAAGAGAGUGAAAAAGUACGUGAAAUUGUUGAAAGGGAAGGGCUUGAGAUCAGACUUGGUAUUUUGUAUGUUACUCUCUCGGGGGUGGCCUCUACAGUUUACCGGGCCAGCAUCAGUUUGAGCGGUAGGAUAAGUGCAAAGAAAUGUGGCACUGCUUCGGUAGUGUGUUAUAGUCUUUGUCGAUACUGCCAGCUUAGACUGAGGACUGCGGCUUCGGCCUAGGAUGUUGGCAUAAUGAUCUUAAGUCGCCCGUCUUGAAACACGGACCAAGGAGUCUAACGUCUAUGCGAGUGUUUGGGUGUAAAACCCGUACGCGUAAUGAAAGUGAACGUAGGUAGGACCUCCUUUAGGAGUGCACUAUCGACCGAUCCUGAUGUCUUCGGAUGGAUUUGAGUAAGAGCAUAGCUGUUGGGACCCGAAAGAUGGUGAACUAUGCCUGAAUAGG